rnacentral:lncRNA from 1 species
UUAAUUUAAGCGGACCUAAUUAACUUGGGGCGUUGAGAAUUCAUGGUUUAUUGAGAAGCAAUUGGAAAUCGUUUUGUAUGCAAGUGUGACAUGUGUGGAGAAGAACCCCUUAGCUAGCUUCCCAUCCAUCCAUUUAAACCAAAUUCAUUUUAAAAUCUGUUCAAGUUACAAAGUUUCUGUUUUGUUUUUAAAUUCGUCUAAAAUCAAUCCCCCUUUAUUUUGAAGUGUCAUAUUAGUUAGAAAUCAAUUUAAGUUGUGUUUUUAAGAGUCUUGAGUCAAGUUAUACCUUAAUUUCGUCCAAAUUAGUUUAGGUGCUCAAAACUGCCCAGAUUGUGAUUUUAAGACAGUUUUGAGUGUUUCUGGGCUGUUUUGAGUCUUUUGGUUUGUUUUGGUGUUUUAAAGUUUAGUUUUGCAUUCU